ACAUGCCCUGCAAGAUUGCGUGUGUGGACAGASCCAAUGGACUCUCCGCAUGAGAUGAGCCCUUUAGGAUUCAUGAUGCAGGAUUUGCAUGAUUAACCUUUAAGGGACACUGCAAAACUGAAGAGUGACGUUUUCGAAUGGGGAACCCACAUCUUGCCCUUUUGACUAUUUAAAUCCCCUUAUAAAAUAAACGGCUACUCGCUGGAACGUUA